rnacentral:rRNA from 1 species
AUACGGAGGGUCCAAGCGUUAUCCGGAAUCAUUGGGUUUAAAGGGUGCGCAGGCGGUUUAUUAAGUCAGUGGAGAAAUCUCGGGGCUCAACCUCGAAACUGCCAUUGAUACUGAUAAACUUGAGUUCAGUUGGAGUAGGCGGAAUGUGUAGUGUAGCGGUGAAAUGCUUAGAUAUUACACAGAACACCGAUAGCGAAGGCGGCUUACUAAACUGAUACUGACGCUGAGGCACGAAAGCGUGGGGAGCGAACAGGAUUAGAAACCCUAGUAGUCC